UGCUCCCUGGAGUGCUUGCCAGUCGGUCAUGUCCCUGAGCCGAUACGCAUAACCACGGGGGUUGCACGUUGGGGUUGGUGUGCAUGUCCGCUCGACGGAAAGCCUUAAAACCUCCUGCAAUCUCCACCUUGAACUUUCGGGUUCAAGGGCUACAUCGACAGCGGUUCGUCGGGGAGUCC
rfam:Pseudomonas syringae pv. spinaceae strain ICMP16929 PspICMP16929_Contig_563, whole genome shotgun sequence.